rnacentral:rRNA from 1 species
CAAUAGCGUAUAUUAAAGCUGUUGCGGUUAAAAGGCUCGUAGUUGGAUUUCUGUCAAGGACAACUGGUCCGCCCUCCGGGUGAGCACAUAGUUUGGUCUUGACAUCUUGCUGGAAGCUGUUGCUGCACUUGGCUGUGUGGCGCAGUGUUCAGCACUUUCACUUUGAGGAAAUUGGAGUGUUUCAAGCAGGCACAUGCCUUUGGACACAGUAGCAUGGAAUAAUUAGAUUGGGCUUUUGCUCCAAUUUGUCGGUUUCUGGAGCUGAGGUGAGUAUUAAUGGGGAUUGUUGGGGGCAUCCGAAUUUAGCCGUCAGAGGUGAAAUUCUUGGAUCUGCUAAAGACGGACAACUGCGAAAGCGUUUGCCCAGGAUGUUUUCAUUGA